GAUCUGCUAACGUGCAAAUUUGGUUUAUUUUAUAUUUUUAUUUGAUUUUGUCCUUUUGAGCAGUUGUUCCUCCAAAAGUCUCAACGUCUGUACGACAGUAACCGAUGCAGACAGUUAUCCGCUUGAACUGGUCUCAUAACUGAAGCGUGUCGUUGGAAGUAAAAAACUUUCUUCACCUAAUUUUCACGUUCACCUGUUCGACGAAAGUCCUCAUUGUUUUAAUUCUAUUGCUUUUCGCAGCACGCGCAACACAUUCCUGGUUUUCAAAACCGUUUCUGAUUGUUCCGGAGCAUAGCAAACAUUGCGGGGAAACAUAUUGGUUUUGAAGCUUUAAUGGCUUUGAAGUCUGUGAUUGUGUUGGAGGGCACAAAUCCUCAUUUUGGUUGGAAUGAUUCGGGGUCUAAGCCAUCUGGGUUUCCAUUGAAUUGGAUAAAUGGACCGGAGAAAGUGUGCAAAUCGAUGAGUUUUGGUGGCUUUUCGGGUUUCUCAGCUUGUCGGGCUAUACGGAAUGUGGAAGACGGCAACACGUCCAAGCGGGACACGAAGUUGGAACGAGUAAUUGAUGAGACGAAGAGCUCCUUUCCAAAACCAUUAUCUGUAUCUGAUCUUUCUAGUACUGCUGAUGAUGGUUGGAAGGUACGGAUAUCAUUCAAGGGGUUUCCAGGGUCAUACACUGAGGAUGCUGCAUUCAAAGCCUACCCUAAAUGUGAAACCGUUCCUUGUAACGAGUUUGAAGAUGCAUUUAAGGCUGUUGAACUAUGGCUGACUGAUAAAGCAGUCCUUCCCAUUGAGAAUUCUUCAAGUGGAAGUAUCCACCGCAAUUAUGAUUUACUACUUCGUCAUAGGCUUCAUAUUGUAGGUGAGGUGCAGUUGGCUGUUAAUUUUUGCCUUCUAGCCCUGCCAGGCGUCAGAUCAGAGCACUUGAAACGUGUUAUAAGCCAUCCACAGGCACUUUCGUUGAGUGAUAUUCUCCUGAGUAAGUUAGGUGUUUCCAGGGAAAACGUUGAUGAUACAGCUGGGGCUGCUCAGUAUGUAGUCUUAAAUGGCCUAAGGGAUGCUGGUGUCGUCGCAAGUGCUCGAGCUGCUGAAAUCUAUGGGCUUAACAUACUAGCAGAUGGAAUCCAGAAGCGUAGAGCUAGCCUAGGUUAUGCCUGCUACAGUGGUCGAGCUUUUGGCAUGUUGGGUGAACCUCGGCAGCAUCCCACAAAUUUCAGCUGUGUGGAAGAUGCUUCCUAUAUGUCUCUAUGGUGCAUUUGGCAGGAACACAAUGACAGGUCCUUUGAAGACAGGGAGCGUUCAUUGGAGGAGAUUAGAUUAUUACUUGUUAGAACUCUUUUUCUUUGGGCCAAAGCUGUAGAUUUCAAUCGCCUCGAUUUUCACGAUUUUCUUGUUUCUAUUUCUUCCUCUUAAAUAAGUGUUAUCUCUUGUAUACCCCUUGUGUACUUGGGCUAUGCCUAUUCGUAUUAAUAUAAUUUAACCGUUUACUUAUUAAAAAAAAAACUUAUGCCCUGAUGAUCCCUCCAGAUAAUGUACAAAAAAUUACCUCUGCGUGUUGUCACCUGUAUGCAUCAGGAUUGUGAAAAUUUUUGAUGAACAACGAGAAGAAUUUACUUGCCCAGAAAAAGCAGUGAGUGGUUUUUUCUAAUAUUUUUUUAAAAAUAGAAUUUAGAACUAUUUUCCGUUGAUGUGGCAUAUGCCAUUGCCAUGUAAACUAAUACACAUCUACUGUUUCCAUCACAUGUGACAGAUUUCAUUACAUUUAUUUACUGAAUUAUAGGGAAGGAUAAAAUCAAACAAUAAAAGUUGGAUAGCAGCACUGCUACAAUUAGAAAAAAGGGAAUUUGGCUGCGUAUUGGAGCAAUAUGACCUAUUGAUAAAUCCUCGACUUUAGAAGACCAAAAAUGUACUUCGCCUUUUUUUCCAUUUUUGUUUAAAACUGUGCAACUGCUGUUAACACAUAAUUUAUGUAAGUUUUGAUAACCUUGAAACCAAAGGAUGUAAAUUUUAAGAACAUUAAAUGCUAUGUUGUAUAUUUUAGUUUUCCUUUGAUGCAAACAAGCACUAGCUCAUCUCUUCAGAGUACUUUCCUUACCAUGAGUUUGGUUGAUAAACUUCCUCUUUUUAAAAGAUUCCAGUAUCAUGAUGAUCAUGACCUUUCCUUCAAUUGAUGUAUCCUCAGAGGUGCAAAAGUUUUUUGUGGAUGACUCACAUCACUGCAGUGUACAUAUAUGAUUUGAAGCCCUGCAAUGUUUUCCUGAAUGCCUAAGCUACCUUAAAUUUGUGUAGUUUGUUUGGACCAUUUACUCUUAAGGCAUUUGUUUUUCUUUGAGGUGACAGAUAUUUUUUUUUUUUAAAAUCGGGUCAUUAAAGAAUUAAUUCCACUGAAGCAUAUUUAUUAGGAUAUUUAGUAAUGCUACUUGUUUUGAUUUAAUUCCAUGGCUUAUACAGGAUGACUCUGAUAACAUUACUCGUUUUCUGGUACUUGCAAGGGAUCCAAUAAUUCCAAGAACUAAUACGCAGUUUAAAACAAGCAUUGUAUUUACUUUGGAUGAAGGCCCUGGAGUUUUAUUUAAAGCCUUGGCAGUAUUUGCUCUGAG